GUGACACACCAGUAAAAUCAUCUUUGCAAAAUUGUCAAAAUCCCAUUUCAUCAAAAUCAAGAAGCAACAGAAAAUUCCCGAAUUUUAGAAUCACUCCACGAGAUAAGGAAGAAAUGGACGCACCUGUCGUGGUAAAACUGAAGCAAGAAAGGGAAAGUAGCACCACAAUGGCACAUGCUGUAAAUUUGGCUAGAGAUCUAA
rnacentral:lncRNA from 1 species